rnacentral:rRNA from 1 species
CCUACGGGGGGCAGCAGUGAGGAAUAUUGGUCAAUGGCCGGAAGGCUGAACCAGCCAAGCCGCGUGAAGGACGAAGGUGCCAAGCAUUGUAAACUUCUUUUGUCAAGGGACAAAAUCAGGCUCGAGAGCCUGACCGAGGGUACUUGAAGAAAAAGCAUCGGCUAACUCCGUGCCAGCAGCCGCGGUAAUACGGAGGAUGCGAGCGUUAUCCGGAUUUAUUGGGUUUAAAGGGUGCGUAGGCGGACUGUUAAGUCAGCGGUGAAAGUCUGUGGCUCAACCAUAGAAUUGCCGUUGAAACUGGGAGGCUUGAGUAUGUUUGAGGCAGGCGGAAUGCGUGGUGUAGCGGUGAAAUGCUUAGAUAUCACGCAGAACCCCGAUUGCGAAGGCAGCCUGCCGCAGCGUUACUGACGCUGAAGCUCGAAAGCGCGGGUAUCGAACAGGAUUAGAUACCCUUGUAGUG